rnacentral:piRNA from 1 species
UCCCAUGGUUUGUGUCUGACGUUACUGAG